UGCCAGCCGCCGCGGUAAUACGGGAGUGGCAAGCGUUAUCCGGAAUUACUGGGCGUAAAGCGCACGUAGGCGGAUUAGAAAGUAUGGGGUGAAAUCCCGGGGCUCAACCCCGGAACUGCCUCAUAAACUCCUAGUCUAGAGAUCGAGAGAGGUGAGUGGAAUUCCAAGUGUAGAGGUGAAAUUCGUAGAUAUUUGGAGGAACACCAGUGGCGAAGGCGGCUCACUGGCUCGAUACUGACGCCGAGGUGCGAAAGUGUGGGGAGCAAACAGGAUUAGAUA
rnacentral:rRNA from 1 species